AUUGAACGCUGGCGGCAGGCCUAACACAUGCAAGUCGAGCGGAUGAAGGGAGCUUGCUCCUGGAUUCAGCGGCGGACGGGUGAGUAAUGCCUAGGAAUCUGCCUGGUAGUGGGGGAUAACGUCCGGAAACGGGCGCUAAUACCGCAUACGUCCUGAGGGAGAAAGUGGGGGAUCUUCGGACCUCACGCUAUCAGAUGAGCCUAGGUCGGAUUAGCUAGUUGGUGGGGUAAAGGCCUACCAAGGCGACGAUCCGUAACUGGUCUGAGAGGAUGAUCAGUCACACUGGAACUGAGACACGGUCCAGACUCCUACGGGAGGCAGCAGUGGGGAAUAUUGGACAAUGGGCGAAAGCCUGAUCGAGCCAUGCCGCGUGAGUGAAGAAGGUCUUCGGAUUGUAAAACACUUUAAGUUGGGAGGAAGGGCAGUAAGUUAAUACCUUGCUGUCUUGACGUUACCAACAGAAUAAGCCCCGGCUAACUUCGUG
rnacentral:rRNA from 1 species